ACUGACACAUUUCUCCAAGUCCAACACAAAAUAUCGAAAUGAAACAAAAAUCCAUAUCCUAACCACGAAAUAGAAAGAUUUUUUCUAUUCCGUGAUCCCAACGGAUUACUGAUUAUCACGGCCGUUUUAUCAUAGUGUUCCAAAAAAUAAUUCAGUGCUUUAUCUAUAUAUAUAAAAAAUGUUUGACCGUAUGGAAAAUCUCAAGUACGAAAAACACGGUAAAUAUUGAAUAUUGUAAAAAGCCUGUGGUGGCCUUUGUAUAUAAAUCAUUAGCCAGAAAUUUUAAUUACGUUUACGAGUCUGUAAAAGAAGCUAGAUCCGAUCGAGCGUUACAUAUUAUAUUUUAGAAAAACAGUGAUUCUUUUUCCAAAAGAAGCCACAACAAAAAGGACGCCAAUAGGUUUACAAAUAUGACACCAAAAAAAUUUUUGCGAACAACAGGUACACAUGCAAGAGUUGUAAGACCUGAUAAAAGAAUCUGGUACUAUCAACCUAUACCAGCACUCCAGUUGUUUCAGUUUUUAUUAUGGAAUAUUUUUCUGUGUAAAAGUGUAACCUCAAGUUUGGAAGAAAAUGUAGAAGAAGUUGUUCACAGCUUUAUAACAGAAUGUCCAAAUUUCUGGUGGUAAUUUUGUGUGCGGCGAACUCCAAAUAAAAACAUUUGCUAAUGUUACUUGAUAUAAUCUAA